UUUGCCUACGGGGGGCAGCAGUGGGGGAUAUUGCACAAUGGGGGGAACCCUGAUGCAGCGACGCCGCGUGGGCGAUGGAGUACUUCGGUAUGUAAAGCCCUAUCAGCAGGGAAGAAAAUGACGGUACCUGACUAAGAAGCCCCGGCUAAAUACGUGCCAGCAGCCGCGGUAAUACGUAGGGGGCAAGCGUUAUCCGGAUUUACUGGGUGUAAAGGGGGCGCAGACGGCAAUGCAAGCCAGGAGUGAAAGCCCGGGGCCCAACCCCGGGACUGCUCUUGGAACUGCAUGGCUGGAGUACAGGAGGG
rnacentral:rRNA from 1 species